rnacentral:rRNA from 1 species
UGGAAAGGCGCGCGAUACAGGGUGACAGCCCCGUACACAAAAAUGCACAUGCUGUGAGCUCGAUGAGUAGGGCGGGACACGUGGUAUCCUGUCUGAAUAUGGGGGGACCAUCCUCCAAGGCUAAAUACUCCUGACUGACCGAUAGUGAACCAGUACCGUGAGGGAAAGGCGAAAAGAACCCCGGCGAGGGGAGUGAAAAAGAACCUGAAACCGUGUACGUACAAGCAGUGGGAGCACGCUUAGGCGUGUGACUGCGUACCUUUUGUAUAAUGGGUCAGCGACUUAUAUUCUGUAGCAAGGUUAACCGAAUAGGGGAGCCGAAGGGAAACCGAGUCUUAACUGGGCGUUAAGUUGCAGGGUAUAGACCCGAAACCCGGUGAUCUAGCCAUGGGCAGGUUGAAGGUUGGGUAACACUAACUGGAGGACCGAACCGACUAAUGUUGAAAAAUUAGCGGAUGACUUGUGGCUGGGGGUGAAAGGCCAAUCAAACCGGGAGAUAGCUGGUUCUCCCCGAAAGCUAUUUAGGUAGCGCCUCGUGAAUUCAUCUCCGGGGGUAGAGCACUGUUUCGGCAAGGGGGUCAUCCCGACUUACCAACCCGAUGCAAACUGCGAAUACCGGAGAAUGUUAUCACGGGAGACACACGGCGGGUGCUAACGUCCGUCGUGAAGAGGGAAACAACCCAGACCGCCAGCUAAGGUCCCAAAGUCAUGGUUAAGUGGGAAACGAUGUGGGAAGGCCCAGACAGCCAGGAUGUUGGCUUAGAAGCAGCCAUCAUUUAAAGAAAGCGUAAUAGCUCACUGGUCGAGUCGGCCUGCGCGGAAGAUGUAACGGGGCUAAACCAUG